AAGGUUCGGGAGAACUGAACCAUGAAGCAAUUUUGCAGAAACUGUGUUCUGUGGAGGUUUGGGGAAGUAUCGGACAGUGGGGAUAUGAGAGCUGAGUUGGGACCCAAGCUCAAGUCUGAAGCCAUGAUCAGCAAUCCAUGCCAUCUCUCACCCCUCCACCUCGCAUCUGCAUUACAUCUGCAAACUGGGCAUUAAUCUACACAAAGAUGGUUGUGAGCCAUCAUGCGGUUGCUGGGAUUUGAACUCGGGACCUUCGGAAGAGCAGUCAGUGCUCUAUAUAGUGCCCUAUGGUGGACAUGGGAAAUGAGGCAUUUCCUGACCUACUCCAGUGCUUCCUUCAUAAGGUGAAUAAAGAAGCUGAGAGAACGCAUGACUUGAUCACGGAAUACUGAGACGAAAACCAGCAUCUUCCAGAUCCCAACACAGGGACUUCAGUGAACCCCUGGGAUUCUCUCUCACUCCCUGGAUGUACAACUUCAAGUUAUGUUGGAAAAGUGCAAUGUUAGUCACUGUUUCUUUAUCAUCUAAAUAAACCUGCAUCCUGCAUC